CCUACGGGUGGCAGCAGUGGGGGAUCUUGCACAAUGGGGGAAACCCUGAUGCAGCAACGCCGCGUGAGUGAAGAAGGUCUUCGGAUCGUAAAGCUCUGUUCUUGGUGAAGAUAAUGCCGGUAGCCAAGGAUAAAGCUCCGGCUAACUACGUGUCAGCAGCCGCGGUCAUACGUAGGGCGCGCGCGUUGUCCGGAUUUACUGGGUGUAACGGGUGCGCAGGCGGGUCUGCAAGUCAGGCGUGAAAGCUAGGGGCUGAACCGCUAAAUGGCGCGGGAAACUGUGGAGCUUGAGUGAAGUAGAGGCAGGCGGAAUGCCAGGUGUAGCGGUGAAAUGCGUAGAGAUCGGGAGGAACACCAGUGGCGAAGGCGGCCUGCUGGGCUGUAACUGACGCUCAGGCACGAAAGCAUGGGUAGCAAACAGGAUUAGAUACCCGAGUAGUC
rnacentral:rRNA from 1 species